rnacentral:rRNA from 1 species
GACGAGCCACCCAAACGUUAUUCGGAAUUACUGGGCGUAAAGCGUGCGCAGGCGGUUUUGUAAGCCAGAUGUGAAAGCCCCGGGCUCAACCUGGGAAUGGCAUUUGGGACUGCAAGGCUGGAGUUUGGCAGAGGAGACUGGAAUUCCUGGUGUAGCAGUGAAAUGCGUAGAUAUCAGGAGGAAUACCGAUGGCGAAGGCAGGUCUCUGGGCUAUAACUGACGCUCAUGCACGAAAGCGUGGGGAGCAAACAGG